AGUCAAUUGUCUCCUACUGCAAAGAAAGCAUGCCAGCUUCUUGAACAGGAUGGAGUUUUCUGUUUUCUUCUCCUCUGUUUUGCCUGCACAAUACUAGUCUCGCUCUGUCGCCCAGGCUGGAGUGCAGUGGUGCGAUCUCGGCUCAUCGCAAGCUCCGCCUCCUGGGUUCACACCAUUCUCCUCUCUCAGUCUCCCGAGUAGCUGGACUACAGGUGCCCGCUCUCAGGCCUCUGAGCCCAAGCCAAGCCAUCGCAUCCCCUGUGACUUGCACGUAUAUGCCCAGAUGGCCUGAAGUAACUGAAGAAUCACAAAAGAAGUGAAUAUGCCCUGCCCCACCUUAACUGAUGACAUUCCACCAUAAAAGAAGUGGACGCGCAUGAAAUUUGGUGCCGCGACUCAGAUCGGGGGACCUCCCUUAGGAGAUCAAUCCCCUGUCCUCCUGUUCUUUGCUCCGUGAGAAAGAUCCACCUAUGACCUCAGGUCCUCAGACCGGACCAGCCCAAGGAACAUCUCACCAAUUUUAAAUCAGGUUCCCACGCCGACCCUAAUGCCGCUUGAAGCAGCCCUGAGAAACAUCGCCCAUUCUCUCUCUCCAUAUCACCCCCCAAAAAUUUUUGCCACCCCAACACUUCAACACUAUUUUGUUUUAUUUUUCUUAUUAAUAUAAGAAGGCAGGAAUGUCAGGCCUCUGAGCCCAAGCCAAGCCAUCGCAUCCCCUGUGACUUGCACGUAUACGCCCAGAUGGCCUGAAGUAACUGAAGAAUCACAAAAGAAGUGAAUAUGCCCUGCCUCACCUUAGCUGAUGACAUUCUACCACAAAAGAAGUGUAAAUGGCCAGUCCUUGCCUUAAGUGAUGACAUUACCUUGUGAAAGUCCUUUCCCUGGCUCAUCCUGGCUCAAAAAGCACCCCCACUGAGCACCUUGCCACCCCCACUCCUGCCCGCCAGAGAACAAACCCUCUUUGACUGUAAUUUUCCUUUACCUUCCCAAAUCCUAUAAAACGGCCCCACCCUUAUCUCCCUUCGCUGACUCUCUUUUCAGACUCAGCCCGCCUGCACCCAGGUGAUUAAAAGCUUUAUUGCUCACACAAAGCCUGUUUGGUGGUCUCUUCACAGGGACGCGCAUGAAACCCGC
rnacentral:lncRNA from 1 species